AUUGAACGCUGGCGGCAGGCCUAACACAUGCAAGUCGAGCGGAUGAAGGGAGCUUGCUCCUGGCUUCAGCGGCGGACGGGUGAGUAAUGCCUAGGAAUCUGCCUGGUAGUGGGGGAUAACGUCCGGAAACGGGUGCUAAUACCGCAUACGUCCUGAGGGAGAAAGAGGUGGAUCUUCGGACCUCACGCUAACAGAUGAGCCUAGGUCGGAUUAGCUAGUAGGUGGGGUAAAGGCCUACCAAGGCGACGAUCCGUAACUGGUCUGAGAGGAUGAUCAGCCACACUGGAACUGAGACACGGUCCAGACGCCUACGGGAGGCAGCAGUGGGGAAUAUUGGACAAUGGGCGAAAGCCUGAUCCAGCCAUGCCGCGUGUGUGAAGAAGGUCGUCGGAUUGUAAAGCACUUUAAGUUGGGAGGAAGGGGAGUAAGUUAAUAACGUGCUGUUUGGACGUGACCAACAGAAGAAGCACCGGCUAACUUCGUGC
rnacentral:rRNA from 1 species